AAGAUGGCUGAGUGCACGGAGCGCACCGCAAAUUCCUUCACCCGAGCCGCGAAGGAAAGUAGCAACUUUAACACCGGCUGCUUCCAAUAACGACGUGUACGGAAAUUGAAUAGAGCCGCCUGCUUCCAAUAAUUCCGGAGGUGUUCGGGAAUAGAGUGGCAACCACUUACGCUAGGGAGGCAAUUGAACACCUAGACCUGGACUCAUCAACUCAAGGGCCAGGAUCCACGGCUGUGCUUCUUUUCGAAGGAAGGCAUGACACCACCAAAGCAACCAAGGAAGUCAUCAAUCCCCACCAACUGACGAGUUUCGUUUGUGGUUCGACACAUGGACGGAGCAUUUGUGUUUUGCUAAAUUUUGCAAAUUAUUGGGGAAUUUCCCUAAAGUUUCACGCGGCCACCAGUUUUCACUCUUCCACAGGCCUUAAGGGUAACCCACAUUAGAUCUGCUUGCGUUGCGUUGUCGUAAAUUUUAUAGUUAGACAAUAUAUUUAGCUGUCACUUUGCUGCAUCGCGCCAGAUCCGGAUCUAAUGUGGGUGGCCCUGUAGAUUUGGAAACUUGAUUAUGUAAACACUAGGCAUCUUUGUCUGGUAGUUCGUUCAAAAAUGAUACAACAAUCGUCAAGCUCGCUGUAACGUCACCUAGUGCCUCGUCACCUACAAAUUGGCGCCUAUGUCAGUGGUCUAAUAACUCUUAGCGCGCUAAUGGCAUAGUUCCCCUGCCGCAUAGAGAGUUACCACAAUGACAUCAGGUUAGCUAAGGUCAGUUAACUGACUGGUGGGAAACGGGAGCUUACGCAAUGGCUAUUCUGUAUGCAUUUAAGAGAUAGUCUACCAGAAUGGAUGAUUUUUUUGUACAAUUUUAUGUUUUCUGAUUGUGCAAAACAUGAGAAUUAACUUUUCCAAUGCUUUCAAUUAUACAAAGCAUUAGUGCUAGAAACAUGAUCUUGUAAACACUACACACCUUAACUGUUAGUUUGAUUAAAAAAUGUUGCAACAAUCGUCAAGCUCGCUGUAAUGUCACCAAGUGCCUCGUCACCUACAAAUUGGCGCCUAUGUCAGUGGUCUAAUAACUCUUAGCGCGCUAAUGGCAUAGUUCCCCUGCCGCAUAGAGAGUUGCCGCAAUGACAUUAGGUUAGCUAAGGUCAGUUAACUGACUGGUGGGAAACGGGAGCUUCAGCAUUGACAGUUAUGUACGCAUUUUUAUGAUGUUAUCUAACAACAAUGGUGUGUAGUGUUUACACGAUUAUGUUACUAAUUCUAAUGUGUUGUAAAUAUAAUUGAAAGCAUUUGAAAAGUAAGAUUCUAGUGGUUAUACUACUUAAAACAUAAGUAAACAUCUACAUUUUAAAACAUUCAAACAACGUUUACUUUAAACGUUUUGUACAUCUGAAAACAUCAGAGAACAACAAACAGGAAGUACAAUUGAAAACAUCCGAACAACGUUUAGUUCUAACGUUGUGUACAUCCGAAAACAUCCAAAAAACGUUUGGUUCUAGCAUCGGGAAACAUCUACAUAAGAAAACAUUAGAAUACAUUUACAUAUAAAAACAUCCGAACAACGUUUAGUUCUAACGUUUUUUACAUCCGAAAACAUCCAAAAACGUUUGGUUCUAACAUCAGGAAACUUCUACAUUAAAAAACAUCAGAAAACAUUUACAUAUAAAAACAUUUAAACAACGUUUAGUUCUAACGUUUUUUACAUCCGAGAACAUCCGAAAACGUUUGAUUCUAACAUCGGGAAACAUCUACAUUAGAAAACAUCAGAAAACGUUUACAUAUAAAAACAUCCGAACAACGUUUAGUUCUAACGUAAUGUACAUCAGAAAACAUCCAUAAAACGUUUGGUUCUAAUGUCAAGAGAUUGAAAUUUUUGACGUCAGACCGACAUUAGAAUGGCAAAAUUUUGUUCCAAAAUUUCUGAU